rnacentral:rRNA from 1 species
AUACGGAGGAUCCGAGCGUUAUCCGGAUUUAUUGGGUUUAAAGGGUGCGCAGGCGGGAGAUUAAGUCGGCGGUGAAAUUUUGCAGCUCAACUGUAAAAGUGCCUUCGAUACUGGUUUCCUUGAGUGUGGAUGAAGGAGGCGGAAUUUGUGGUGUAGCGGUGAAAUGCUUAGAUAUCACGAGGAACUCCGAUUGCGCAGGCAGCUUACUAAACCACUACUGACGCUCAGGCACGAAGGCGUGGGGAUCAAACAGGAUUAGAUACCCUGGUAGUCCACGCAGUAAACGAUGAUUACUGGCUGUUUGCGAUACAAUGUAAGCGGCUGAGCGAAAGCGUUAAGUAAUCCACCUGGGGAGUACGUUCGCAAGAAUGAAACUCAAAGGAAUUGACGGGG